UCCGACGUAGUGCAGAGGUUAGCAUAUCAGGCUUUCACCCUGAAGACCCGAGUUCGAACCUCGGCGCCGGAG
rnacentral:tRNA from 5 species